rnacentral:ncRNA from 1 species
GUGACUCUGGAGAAGCUCAGAAGUGAGUGCCGAAGGUGCAAAGGCGGCGUCGCCGCUUAAUCUCUCAGGCAAAAGGACGGAGAAA